AUCUGGGGGCUGAGGGCAGCACUGGAGCUCUGAUCACCAGAGGCUUUCAGGGGGGAAGUGAGGCUGAAGCCAGCUGGAGGAGCUCCUGGGAUGCCUUAGCCAAGGCAGAAGGUGGUUUUUGAGGGGCAGCUCCCGAGGUGGGGGAGUGUGCUGAAGCUGUGGAGACGUCCUGCAAGCUUGGAGCCUGAGUCUGCAUGAGCUGGCAAAAAGAGGAGCUCCAACACCCAGCUCAGCAAUUACAGAUCCCAGCUUCUGCUCCUCCAGAGACCCAGGAUGGGAUCUGCAUCCAGCUGACCUGGCUGCUGGGGGCACAGAGCAUCUGAGCCCUCUGCCUGGGCUCUUCUGGGGGGCAAGGGAGUUCAAAGGUGAUGCUCUGCCUGUGAAGGAGGGUGUCAGAGCUGCUGUUCAAAGCCAAGAUGUUCCCAUCUUGGCCAGCCUGAUGGCUGACCUGGAUGUCAGCCUCAUUCCUGCACCAGCCCUGCCAAAAUCUCCCUCCUGCCCUGGAGCUAAAGACAAAAGGAGACGUUUCCAUUCCUCCACGAGCUGCAACCUGUAUUUUGCAAGUGAAUUGCUCCUAUCUGCCUGAGACUCUGCUGGUGACAAGCUCGUUAGUUGGUGACACACUGCUCCCAAUUACACAGCAUCCCCCCCUCCCCCAUCCCCCUCCCCAGCCUUUUGAUGCUCCUGAAUGACUGCGUUGGAGAUGAGCACUUCAGAAGGGCAAAGCCUCUGCGUGCUGCCAGCCUGGAGGCUUCGCUGCCAUCCCCUCCAGCAAGGAGCAACCCUGCAGGCUGCUGGCAAGGGGGAGCACAGGGAAGCCUUCAGCCCUGUAUUCCCCUCUCUGCUGGUGAUUCCAGGCUCCCAGGGGAGCAGGCAGGGAGGAAAAGCAGGUUUUGAUCAUCUGGAU